rnacentral:lncRNA from 1 species
CUGUGUGAGUGUUUCCCACAGAGCGAGGGUGGCAUCUGCCUAGCUGGAGGGCUGGCAGCACACUGAAUCUGCCUGCAGUGGAUUCUGAAACAUAGAAUUGUGGCUAGUGGGAUGUCAAACAGGAUGAGACUGAGAGCUGCUUGCCGUGAUGGAGAUUUCAGUUGUCAGCCUUGAGACCACGGGGCUCAGGAGGGAUGGAGAUUACGGAACCUGCCAUCACAAGAAGGACAAACGAACAGCGGAACAAGGGGGGCAUCCAGAUUGUCUGAGGAAGAGGAGCAAUCAGGGACACAGCCGAGGUCCAGCCCCGGGAGGAAGUGUCAGCAGAAAUCACAGCCAGCCCUUGAGCGUGCACUUUAUCUCUUUCCUAUUCAUGAUCUCAUUCUACCACAUGUGAAGGUGGAGUCG